rnacentral:rRNA from 1 species
CUACGGGGCGCUCCAGUGAGGAAUAUUGCGCAAUGGGCGAAAGCCUGACGCAGCAUCGCCGUGUGAGUGACGAAGGCCUUCGGGUUGUAAAGCUCUGUCGGGAGGGAAGAAGGCCACUUCGGUGGCUUGACGGUACCUCGCAAGAAAGCACCGGCUAACUCCGUGCCAGCAGCCGCGGUAAUACGGAGGGUGCAAGCGUUGCUCGGAAUCAUUGGGCGUAAAGCGCGUGUAGGCGGCCCGUCAAGUCGGAUGUGAAAGCCCGGGGCUUAACUCCGGAACUGCAUCCGAUACUGUCGGGCUUGAGUACGGGAGAGGGAAGCGGAAUUCCCAGUGUAGAGGUGAAAUUCGUUGAUAUUGGGAGGAACACCCGUGGCGAAAGCGGCUUCCUGGACCGAUACUGACGCUGAGACGCGAAAGCGUGGGGAGCAAACAGGAUUAGAUACCCCUGUAGUC